rnacentral:rRNA from 1 species
UACAGAGGGUGCGAGCGUUGCUCGGAAUUACUGGGCGUAAAGCGCACGUAGGCGGCUUUGUAAGUUAGAGGUGAAAGCCCGGAGCUCAACUCCGGAAUUGCCUUUAAGACUGCAUCGCUAGAAUUGUGGAGAGGUGAGUGGAAUUCCGAGUGUAGAGGUGAAAUUCGUAGAUAUUCGGAAGAACACCAGUGGCGAAGGCGACUCACUGGACACAUAUUGACGCUGAGGUGCGAAAGCGUGGGGAGCAAACAGG